rnacentral:rRNA from 1 species
AACGACUCUCGGCAACGGAUAUCUCGGCUCACGCAUCGAUGAAGAACGUAGCAAAAUGCGAUACUUGGUGUGAAUUGCAGAAUCCCGUGAACCAUCGAGUUUUUGAACGCAAGUUGCGCCCGAAGCCAUUCGGCCGAGGGCACGUCUGCUUGGGCGUCACGC